UCGGGAAUAUUGGACAAUGGGCGCAAGCCUGAUCCAGCCAUGCCGCGUGGAUGAUGAAGGCCCUAGGGUUGUAAAGUCCUUUUAACGGGGAAGAUAAUGACGGUACCCGUAGAAUAAGCCCCGGCUAACUUCGUGCCAGCAGCCGCGGUAAUACGAAGGGGGCUAGCGUUGCUCGGAAUUACUGGGCGUAAAGCGCACGUAGGCGGAUUGUUAAGUCGGGGGUGAAAUCCUGGAGCUCAACUCCAGAACUGCCUUCGAAACUGGCGAUCUUGAGUUCGGGAGAGGUGAGUGGAACUGCGAGUGUAGAGGUGAAAUUCGUAGAUAUUCGCAAGAACACCAGUGGCGAAGGCGGCUCACUGGCCCGAUACUGACGCUGAGGUGCGAAAGCGUGGGGAGCAAACAGGAUUAGAUACCCGGGUAGUCCCUGAGCGGGCUGGCAAGGCGCAU
rnacentral:rRNA from 1 species